CACUAUUUGCCCAGGUCCUCAAACAUUCAAAGCCAACUAGUUAUUAAAAAGAAAGGGUUAACAAAGAGUUGAGGAGUGAGAAGGAAAGAUCACAUGUGAGUCUAGCAUUAUUAUGGUGGCAGGGGUGGGUGGGAGGUUAAGAAAAAAGGGAUGAAAAGAUAGUGACAACAGUAAUGGAGUUUGAGAAAAUGGGUGAACUGCAGAGCUUUACAAGCAAAAUUGAUAUUGCAUAUUUAGGAGGGAGAUAGAAAUGGUCAAAAUGUAAGUUAGACUCUGAUAUUUCAUACUGUGCAGCUAACAAACAAAUGGACAAAUAUCUACGUGCAUGACUUUUAUAAUGAAAAACAGGAAGUUGGAAUGAGGAGCAAUGGAAUAAUUGCUCUCUGGUUUUGCAAGCGAAGAUGAAAAAAAUAAUUCUUUGUGGUCAUAUGACUGGUUAAAGCAUAGACAGUAUGAUUUUGGUAUGCUUUUACAGUGUGGACAAGUAUAAAGUCUACUAUUGCCCAUGUGGCAAGUUAGUUCGUGUUGAAAGACGAUUUGUGAUGGGCAAUGUCAGUGGUUUUUUAUGUAGUAGCCAGUGCCAUGGGGUCAAUGUGGGAAAUGAUGCCGGGCAAAAUUUGUGAGGAACAGUUGACACAGUAUUUGGUGUCGAGUGCGAAGUUGGUUUCAGUGGUUAAUGUGAAUGGUAGAAGGUUUUGAACUGGCUGCAAAAAUAGUGAACUUGACAAUGUAAAGAAGGCAGAAUGGUACCAUGAAUUCGGAAGUAGCAAGAAUCCAGUCGUAAAAAAAAGAAAAGUU